CCUACGGGAGGCAGCAGUGGGGGAUUUUGCACAAUGGGGGAAACCCUGAUGCCGCGACGCCGCGUGUGGGAAGACGGUCCUCUGGAUUGUAACCCACUGUCCCCAGGGACGAAGAUGACGGUACCUGGGGAGGAAGCUCCGGCUAACUACGUGCCAGCAGCGGCGGUAAUACGUAGGGAGCAAGGGGUGUCCGGAAUUACUGGGUGAAACGGGAGCGUAGGCGGGAUGGCAAGUUGGGUGUUAAAUCUACCGGCUCAACUGGUAGUCGCACUCAAAACUGCUAUUCUUGAGUGAAGUAGAGGCAGGCGGAAUUCCUAGUGUAGCGGUGAAAUGCGUAGAUAUUAGUAAGAACACCAGUGGCGAAGGCGGCCUGCUGAGCUUUUACUGACGCUGAGGCUCGAAAGUGUGGGGAGCAAACAGGAGUAGAUACCCCUGUAGUC
rnacentral:rRNA from 1 species